AAUAAGUUUUAUUCUAGCUUAAAUAAUAAGUUUAUAAUUUAUUUACAUGUAAAUUUUAGUGAAAUUAAAUAAAAUUUUAAAAAGAUUUUAUUGAUAAUUUUUAUUCACAGUAUUUAGUUUUAAUUAUUAAGGAAACUUAGAAUUAGAAAUUUAUAAUAAUAUUAACAUAAUUUGUGCCAGCAGUUGCGGUUACACAAAUAAUAUAAUUUAUUAUUAUUAAUUUAUAAUUAAUUUUGAUUUAAUUGAUAUAAAUUAUAAUUUAUUAGGUGAAAUUUUAAAUUAUGAUUAAUUUUAAUAAAAGAUUUUGAAGUUAUUAGAUUUUAUAUAAAACUAGGAUUAGAUACCCUAUUAUAAAAAUGUAAAUUUUACAAAUUAAAUUAUUUAUAGUUAUAUUCUUAAAAGUUAAAAAAUUUGGCGGUAUUUUAAUCUAUUCAGAGGAACCUGUCCUAUAAUUGAUAUUCCACGAUUAAAAUUACUUAUUUUAUUAAUUUGUAUAUCGUCGUAGUUGAAUAUUUUAAUAGAAAUUAAAUAUUCAUAAUUUUUAAUUUAAAAAUAAAUCAGAUCAAGGUGCAGUUUAUAGAUAAGUAGAGAUGGGUUACAAAAAAGAUAUUUUUGGAUUAAUUUUUUAAAAAAAUUAUGAAAUUGGAUUUGAUAGUAAUUAAAUUAAUAUAAAUUUAAUGAUUUUAGUUCUAAAAUAUGCACAUAUCGCCCGUCGCUCUCAUUUAAAUUGAGAUAAGUCGUAACAAAGUAAAUGUACUGGAAAGUGUAUUUAGGCUAUU
rnacentral:ncRNA from 1 species